AUUGAACGCUGGCGGCAGGCCUAACACAUGCAAGUCGAGCGGAUGAAGGGAGCUUGCUCCUGGAUUCAGCGGCGGACGGGUGAGUAAUGCCUAGGAAUCUGCCUGGUAGUGGGGGAUAACGUCCGGAAACGGGCGCUAAUACCGCAUACGUCCUGAGGGAGAAAGUGGGGGAUCUUCGGACCUCACGCUAUCAGAUGAGCCUAGGUCGGAUUAGCUAGUUGGUGGGGUAAAGGCCUACCAAGGCGACGAUCCGUAACUGGUCUGAGAGGAUGAUCAGUCAAAUUGGAAAUGAGAACCGGCCCAGACCCCGAGGGGGGGCAGCGGGGGGGAAUUUUGGAAAAGGGGGGAAAGCCGGACCCAGCCAUGCCGGGGGGGUGAAGAAGGUUUUCGGUUUGUAAAGCCCUUUAAGUUGGGAGGAAGGGAAGUAAGUUAAUACCUUGCUUUUUUGACGUUACCAACAAAAUAAGCACCGGCAAACUUCGU
rnacentral:rRNA from 1 species